AAGUUACUGAGCAUUCCAGUAACUUUUUUUGUGUAUGUACUUUAGCUGUACUAUAAGUAGUUGGUUUGUAUGAGAUGGUUAAAAAGGCCAAAGAUAAAAAGGUUUCUUUUUUUUUUACCUUUUUUUGUCUAUGAAGUUGCUGUUUAUUUUUUUUUGGCCUGUUUGAUGUAUGUAUGAAACAAUGUUGUCCAACAAUAAACUGGAAUUUUAUUUUGCUGAGUUGU
rnacentral:lncRNA from 1 species